AGAGAAGAGAUAGAUGGUAUCAGAGCUAAACAUUUCCAAGAAGAAAACAGAACAAACUUCUACUUUCUUGAUCAGCAGUGGAGAUCUGAUCAGGCACGGGACAGUUCCCAGGCUACUCCCAGGAGACCUUGGAGAAAACUAGGAAACAGGUCAACUUGGCCACCUCGUCAUUUCUCAGGGACCAGAUUCAACACAAACAAUUGCAAAGAACUAGGGAAUUGGAACAAAAGAGAAUAGAGGUACAGGAUCGACUUAUUUGGGAGAAGAAUCUUGCUGCAGAAUUAGAGGCGGAGAAACAGGACAAAAUUAGGAAACAGUCUCUUUACAGAUCUCUUAUAGAUUCCCAGUUAAAUCAUUAAAGAUAGAAUAUCAUUAUUUUUAAAGACAUUUUUCACACUGUAGGGUAUAAAUUGAUUUAAAAUGACAUUUUUGAAUAGUUUAAAUUAAAAUGCAAGAUUUCACACAAUAUGUAUUCAAAUUGAUUUAAAAUAGUGUAGUUAUAUAACAUAUUCGAAUAGUUAAAAAUAAA